UACGAAGGGGGCUAGCGUUGCUCGGAAUCACUGGGCGUAAAGCGCACGUAGGCGGAUUGUUAAGUCAGGGGUGAAAUCCUGGAGCUCAACUCCAGAACUGCCUUUGAUACUGGCGAUCUUGAGUCCGGGAGAGGUGAGUGGAACUGCGAGUGUAGAGGUGAAAUUCGUAGAUAUUCGCAAGAACACCAGUGGCGAAGGCGGCUCACUGGCCCGGUAUGACGCUGAGGUGCGAAAGCGUGGGGAGCAACGGGAUAA
rnacentral:rRNA from 1 species